UGGAGCUAGCGAUCCUGCUCGCGCUUCAGCCUGCGGGAGGGACACCUCCUGGGUAUUCUCGAAAUUCAGCUCUCGGUUCCUGGGAUCUUGGAAUCUGCUCACACGUGGCUUGUACGGCGGAGGUUGUCCGGUCAGCGGGUUGCGGAGGAUCCCGCAGGUAGCAAAGGGAGGGCGAGGGCCCCUGCGACCCCAGACUGCGACUAGAACAUCCAUCAUUGUUAGCCCCGCAGCUAGCUUGGACACCAUUAAAAGGGCUCAUCAGCUUCAAAUGAAUAAAAGUAUCUGAUAUUCAUGAAGACAGAGUUUCAGGGCUUCUACCAGGAGCUACACUCUCUAGAAGCCCCUGCUUGGCCUUCCUGCACCCAACCCCACCCCAACUAGUCACAACUUGGCUGUGUAUGGUGUUUCUUGGCAACUGGAACACAGACUCCUCCAGCAGCUCCACAGAUCCCUUGUCCUCAGUGAGCAGAAGACUACAGAAACUGUCUACUGAAGAGGCUGUCCAUGUGAUUGAGCUCGGCUCUGCUUAACACACUUACCACAGAGCAGUAACUGAGUGCUGGAUGUUACUCAUUCGUGCUCACCUCCUGCAGGUCACCCACUCCAUGACAUUCAUCCUUUAGUAUCUGCUCUUCGCUAAGGAGAAAACAACACCACCUGUCGUCUGUUAACCCGAGGACAGAAUGCCCAGGUGAGCCUGACUCACAGUACCUGUACUUAGCUAACCUUGACCAUGUGCUGCCAAAGCUCCUGCAAGCCCUCCCUCCAAGCACAGCAGCAGCCCAGCUCCGGAGCGGACAGGCAUUCCACCCCACAGAAGUGAUCUGCUGUCACCUACUCUUGGGGGGCAAAGGGGAUUGUGGGGAGAUUAGAAGAAGAUAGAUGGGCCCACUCCGUCAACCCAUGUUGUUAUCAGGAAAUUCAUUCUGGUCCACACAACAACCCCGCUGGUGCACUGACUGAGGGGAGCCACGUGUUUAGUUCCCUGGACUGCCGUGUGACCUCACCCACUGACUUCCCCAGAAGGGGCUCUUGUAACCCCUUCAGGAAGCUGAAGCCAGACAGUGACUGAGAGGUUCUGUUCAGCUCCUCCUCUCCUGGGCAGCUUCACCCAGGAGUAACUUCAGUAGCCAGUGGGGUGUGUGCUCGCCACUCAGGUUUUCAAAACAAAACCAUAUAUUGUUUAGGGAUACUUACACAGGAAGCAAAACUUUCAAGAAAAGCAAAAAAGAGAGAGAGAGAGAGAGAGAGAGAACAUCAAGGUCAGGAUAAUGGUUUCCUCUGGGGCAGGGGAAGAGGUAUGUGAAGGGAAACAGGAGGGUUCUAAAAUAUGUUCUAGUUCUUAGCAUGGUUGGCAGGUAGAUGGGAAUUUUAUUAUUCUUCCUUAAACUGUACAAGUUUUAGAAACUGUUCCAUAUGUUCAGUGCAUUUAAAAUUUUAACAGAAACACAGUUUUCAAACCAAAUAAUACGUACAACUGACUGAACACAUAGAAUCAAAGAUAAUCACAAUAAACACAUCAGAAUACCUGCCUAUAGAGGGAGAGGGUUGGAAAUGGGAGUGGAGAACGAGAAAAUGAGAUGCACGAAUUUAUAUAUAUAAAAGCCCAGCGACCAUUAUGGCAGAAUGAUUGGAACAACCAGAACA